UUUUUUUUCUUUCUCUUUAUCUGCUUUUCGAAGUGGGUAGCUGAAAUGUCUCGGAAUUUAAUUUUUAUCAUCGGCGUUAGAAUUAAUUCGUCUAAAAUUGAAAUGGUUCCAUUUCCGUGAGCAUGAAUGAACGUUCGAUCAUCGUUGCAAUCUGAUGGCAAAAUGAGAACUGAACACUGACUUUUGGGGCGACCGUUAUGCCAAUCGAAGUCGGUAUGCAAUCCAGAUUGAGUACCGUUGAAGUGCAAUUCGAUUGUUCAAUUACAAUGACGAAACCAUAUGUCAGUUGAAAGUAAGGCUGAGCAGAAAAUUGUCAACGAAGAAUAUGGUCGGUUCAUGAUGACGCGGAUCCCUUUGGUUUCAGUAUCGCGCUGAUUGCGGAUGAUGUUUGGUCGAGUCACGAUGCACGAUUGGUUCAUAGGGUGGCAAUUUGAGGUCAAUAUGGAGUGACUGACACGAUCGAUGAACAGAUGUGGGGCCAUACGAUCAGCUGAAUCAACAAAAAUCCAGUCGCUGGACAUCAUUCGUUAAAUUUUGUAAAUUGAUUAUAAUUCACGAACGUGUGCAAUUCUAAUGAAAUCUGUGAGUCAUUUUGUGAGAAAAUAUACAGAGAAUGAGUUC